rnacentral:rRNA from 1 species
CUGUUUAACGGCCGCGGUAUCCUGACCGUGCAAAGGUAGCAUAAUCAUUUGUUCUCUAAAUAAGGACUUGUAUGAAUGGCCACACGAGGGUUUUACUGUCUCUUACUUCCAAUCCGUGAAAUUGACCUUCCCGUGAAGAGGCGGGAAUACACAAAUAAGACGAGAAGACCCUAUGGAGCUUUAACUAACCAGCCCAAAGAAAAUAAACUUAACCAUUAAGGAGUAACAAUAAUCUCCAUGAGUUGGUAGUUUCGGUUGGGGUGACCUCGGAGAAUAAAAAAUCCUCCGAACGAUUUUAAAGACUAGACCCACAAGUCAAAUCAUUCAAUCGCUCAUUGAUCCAAAAACUUGAUCAACGGAACAAGUUACCCUAGGGAUAACAGCGCAAUCCUAUUCAAGAGUCCAUAUCGACAAUAGGGCUUACGACCUCGAUGUUGGAUCAGGACAUCCUGAUGGUGCAACCGCUAUCAAAGGUUCGUUUGUUCAACGAUUAAAGUCCUA